rnacentral:rRNA from 1 species
UACGUAGGGGGCAAGCGUUGUCCGGAUUUAUUGGGCGUAAAGCGCUCGCAGGUGGUUCGAUGCGUCGGGCGUGAAAGACCCCGGCUCAACUGGGGAGGGUCGUGCGAUACGGUCGAACUGGAGGCCAGUAGGGGGAUGCGGAAUUCCGGGUGUAGUGGUGGAAUGCGUAGAGAUCCGGAGGAACACCAGCGGCGAAGGCGGCAUCCUGGGCUGGUCCUGACACUCAUGAGCGAAAGCGUGGGGAGCGAUCCGG